rnacentral:rRNA from 1 species
CCUACGGGAGGCAGCAGUGAGGAAUAUUGGUCAAUGGGCGUAAGCCUGAACCAGCCAAGUAGCGUGAGGGAUGAAGGUUCUAUGGUUCGUAAACUUCUUUUAUAAGGGAGUAAAGUGUGGGAUGUAUACUAUUUUGCAUGUACCUUAUGAAUAAGGAUCGGCUAACUCCGUGCCAGCAGCCGCGGUAAUACGGAGGAUCCGAGCGUUAUCCGGAUUUAUUGGGUUUAAAGGGAGCGUAGGCGGGCGUUUAAGUCAGUUGUGAAAGUCUGUGGCUCAACCAUAGAAUUGCAGUUGAUACUGGCAUCCUUGAGUAUGUUAGAGGUAGGCGGAAUGCGUGGUGUAGCGGUGAAAUGCGUAGAUAUCACGAAGAACCCCGAUUGCGAAGGCAGCCUGCUAGGCCAUGACUGACGCUGAUGCACGAAAGCGUGGGGAUCAAACAGGAUUAGAUACCCUUGUAGUC